GUGGGGAAUAUUGGGCAAUGGGGGGAACCCUGACCCAGCGACGCCGCGUGGGUGAAGAAAUCCUUCGGGAUGUAAAGCCCUGUUGUAUGGGAAGAGCGGAAGACGGUACCAUACGAGGAAGCCCCGGCAAACUACGUGCAAGCAGCCGCGGUAAUACGUAGGGGGCAAGCGUUGUCCGGAAUUACUGGGCGUAAAGCGCACGCAGGCUGAAUUAUAAGUCGGUAGUAAAAGGAGGGGGCUCAACUUCCGUAUAUCUAGCGAUACUGUAAAUCUAGAGUAUGUGAGAGGGAAGCGGAAGUCCCGGUGUAGCGGUGAAAUGCGUAGAUAUCGGGAGGAACACCAGUGGCGAAGGCGGCUUCCUGGCACAAUACUGACGCUCAUGUGCGAAAGCUAGGGCAGCGAACGGGAUUAGAUACCCUUGUAGUCC
rnacentral:rRNA from 1 species